rnacentral:lncRNA from 1 species
AGGGUGUGCCAAUGAUCCACACGACGCGCGCAUUCACCUGGUGUUCGCCGGCCGCGCGCCCGGGGAUGCGGGGGUUGUGGGGACCGAAUCUGCGAUUUUAAUUCAUUGUUUUAUGUAUAUGGAUGUCUUGUCUGCAUGCGUGUCUGGUCUACCACCUGUGUGCCCAGUGCCUACAGAGGCCAGAAAAUGGUGUUGCAUCUCCUGGAACUGCUUUUAAACCGCCGUGCUGGUGCUGGGAACUCAACCUGAGUCAUCUGCAGCGCUUUUAACUGCUGAGUCAUCUCUUUGCCUCCUGCAACUAUGUUUAACCAAAGCAGAGCCAUGGUUAAACUCUCUAACCAAAACAGGCUGCAUCUCCCGAGAAACCGGGUCAGAAUUUCACAUUCACCUUUGGAGGCUAGUCAUUCUUGCAGCUGAGUCACACUCCUUGAACAUGUUCAAGAGCUAAAUGAUGAGAACAUAGAAACAUUAGCCAAUGCAAUUCUGGGUUGUGUUAGAUGGGAGGGAAGCAGGGGAAGGAAAAAGGAGGCAAAGGAAUUGAUUAUCGGAGGGGAAGGGAAAGCACUUGCCAUUCAGUCAUGGAGUUGUAAUGGCAUUGGUGACUACCUUUCUUUUUUCAAUAUUUAUUUUUAUUUUAUGUGCAUUGA